UUUUUAUUAGUUAAUGUUAAUUGUUAAUUUUUGUUAAAAUAUUAGUAAAACAUGAUUUUUUCCUCCUAUUCCCUUCAACUCUUAAAUCUUUUCUUCCAAGCUAAUAAGCCAACCUUAUAACUCCCUUCUCAUCCACAAGUUACAACAAAAUAAAGAUUGUUUGUAACAAAACAAGGCAAAGAGGAAACCAUGAAAAGUACAUUGUGUUCAUUUUCACCCAAGACUCUUCUUCACAGUAACGCCACACGAGCUGUCACAUUAACUAUACUCUACAAACAGCAGAUCAUAUUCCUCCACUCAAUGACGUAAUAUGGCAAAUAAUAAGAUUGAGGAGGUACAAUUACUUACCAAAAACUGCAUAGAUAAUGUAGAAUCCAGAGUUUGUUACAGGCUUUUCAGUGAAGCAACCCUGAUUCUAGAGAGGUGCAAUAGUACCCUACCACUGCACCAACCCGGUUUUCCUGUGGUUACAAGAAUCCUCCACCCACCACACCCAACCUCUGUUAUGUUGUGUUGUGUCGUGUGUGUUUCCGUAAAUUAAGAUCUGGUUGGCAAAUUGAUAUAGAAGCGUACGAAUCUCGUCCAUCGAGGCAUAGCUUGUUUUUGCUAUGGGUUGGAGAUACAACGUUGGAUUGUUCCUCAUAGUCACUGUUGUUAUUAUUUGGUUCACCUCCGCCGAAGUUACCCAGAACCCAAAAUUCCUCAUCUGUAUCUCCAUCAACAACAAUAAACUCAUCAGGGGAGCAAAGAGAAGAAACAGAUUGCAGUAUCAUCACUAAAAUCAACGACAAUGACAUUCCUAAUAAGAGUGCUGUAAGAAAUGAAACCAAGGGUCUUGUUUCCUAGUUAUUUCCUCCAAAUUCCCACAGAAUGGGCAAUUAUAGUUACCAUCUUGAAGAGCAAUCCCUCUUUUCUUUUAUGAUUAGAGCUUGUUGGGAUUCAGUUCUUGGCUACUCUCCAUAGCAGAUGCAAUACUGAAGGUGGAGCACAAACAAGAAUCAAAGGGUAGUGGACUGACUGGACUCAAUAGUGUUUAGAUCUUGGGUCAAAGCUAGCCUCUGUCAACAGAACUAACUUCUCCUUUUAGGAUUGCUGACGGAAAAUGCAUUCGUUCCUAUGGUGCCAAAUGCACCAGCCGAGCUUCAAUUUCCUGUAGUGAGUUUUCUUGGUACUGAUUUGGUGUUGUUGAUCAUCAACAAUUGCAUUGAAGCGGUUUCGGUUUCGGUUUGGGUUUCGGUGAGUGGAGAUUAUCACCGAACUGGAUUCCAUUUCUAGCCCCUUAAGAACUGGAUGAACGUAGGGUUCUUCAAUAGGCUAUGAAUAUUGCUCAAAGUGGUUUAAGUGAGGAUGCAUUAAUUUGUCAUGGGGUUUGUAUGUGUUGGACCUGCUGGUUUUUUGUGCUCACUUGGUGUAUAUGAUGUUUCGGUCCUAGGCUUAUUUGCUUACUCCAAGUUUCAUUCCUUGAAAAGUUGUUGCUACCGCUUCUACACAUUACAAGUUACAUAUUUGUUAUAAUUUUCAAGGAAGCAUCAAGAGGAUGCAUGUGUUUAGGGAAGCCAACUACGUAACAAAUUGUCUAGCUAAACAUGAUUUGCAGGUAUCUUCAGAGUGUCAUAUUUUUUUAUGUUAAGAAUUUUAUUCGUAAUAAUAUGUUAGCAAAUUUGGCUUGUUUUCCUUUUCUCAUAAGAUUUUAGUUUGUCAUAGGAAGUUAAU